UACGUAGGGGGCAAGCGUUGUCCGGAGUUACUGGGCGUAAAGGGUGCGUAGGCGGUGCAUUAGGUCUGUCGUGAAAUCCCCGGGCUCAACCUGGGAAUGGCGGUGGAAACCGGUGUACUAGAGUAUGGGAGAGGGUGGUGGAAUUCCAGGUGUAGCGGUGAAAUGCGUAGAGAUCUGGAGGAACAUCAGUGGCGAAGGCGGCCACCUGGCCCAAUACUGACGCUGAGGCACGAAAGCGUGGGGAGCAAACAGG
rnacentral:rRNA from 1 species